ensembl:lncRNA
CGCCCCCCGCGCGGUGGGCGCCAUGAUGGGAGCGGGGUGGGAGGUGAAGGGCGGCCCUAUGGGAGCUAUAGGGGGGAUCUGUAGGGGACGAAGGGGGGUAUAUGGGGGGCUGAUCGGGGUACGGGGGAUAUAUGGUCGCAUAUGGGGGUCUGUAGGGGUUUCUGGAGGGAUCCGGAUGGGAUCUGUAGGGGAUCUAUAGGGGAUCGAGGGGUGUAUAGGGGGGUCUAUGGGGGUAUAGGGGUAAUAUAUGGGGAGAUAUUGGGGUUAUAUAUGGGAGGAGAUGGUGGGGUGUAUGGGGGUGUGGGGAGGGGCCGAUGUGGGGUCUGUAGGGCUUCUUUAUAGGGGAUUGGGGGGUAUAUAGGGGUCUGGGGGGGGGAUUGGGGGUAUAUCGGUGUGUCUGGAGGGGUCUAUGGGGGAUCUAUAGGGGAUAUAUAGGGGUUGGGGGGGGGGGUUGGGGUAUAUCUGUGUCGGGAGGGGUCUAUGGGGGAUCUAUAGGGGAUCGGAGGGAAUCCUAUAGGGUAUGCUAUAGGGCCCGGCCCCUCUCGAGGCAGCGCUGCCCCAUGCGUUCCUCCCCCCCGGGGUCGGGCCCCAGAGUGAGGAGGGGGCAAACCUACGGCCGGCGGCUCUUAUUCCCCCCCCACCCCCCCCAAAAUUGGAGCCGUCGGUAUACAGCAGCCCCCACAAACCCUAUAGGGGAAGGAGCAGCUCCUGUGGAUCCUAUAGACCCCCCCCCCCCCCCCCAUUAUAAGGGUUGGGGUGAAGGAGAAGGAAUGGCUGUGGUGGAGGCGUUGGGACAACGGGACGGUGGCGGAGUGGUGAGACGUGGGUAGGAUGGGGGCGUCAAUGGGGGGACAGUGGUGGCAGUGGAAGGGAUGGGGACAAAAUGGAGUCAAUGGAGAUGAAUGGAGGAGAGAACGGUGGCAUGGAAAUGAAUGGGGGACAAAGUGGUGACAUUGGAAUGAAUGGGGGGCAAAAUGGCAUUGGAAUGGAUGAAUGGGGGACAAAAUGGAGUCAAUGGAGAUGAAUGGGGGGCAAAAUGGUGGCAUUGAAACGAAUGGGGGACAAAAUGGAGUCAAUGGAAAUGAAUGGGGGACAAAAUGGUGGCGUUGGAAUGAAUGGGGGACAAAAUGGAGUCAAUGGAGAUGAAUGGGGGGCAAAAUGGUGGCAGUGGAGAUGAAUGGGGGACAAAAUGGAGUCAAUGGAGAUGAAUGGGGGGCAAAAUGGUGGCAUUGAAAUGAAUGGGGGACAAAAUGGUGGCAGUGGAAAUGAAUGGGGGACGAAAUGGAAUCAGUGGAGAUGAAUGGGGGGCAAAACAGAGUCAAUGGAGAUGAAUGGAGGAGAAAAUGGCAUCAAUGGAAGUGAAUGGGGGACAAAAUGGCGGCAUUGGAAUGAAUGGGGGACGAAAUGGAGUCAAUGGAAAUGAAUGGGGGGCAAAGUGAUGACAUUGGAAUGAAUGGGGGACAAAAUGGAGUCAAUGGAAAUGAAUGGGGGACAAAAUGGCGGCGUUGGAAUGAAUGGGGGACAAAAUGGAGUCAAUGGAGAUGAAUGGGGACAAAGUGGUGGCGUUGGAAUGAAUGGAUGGGGGACAAAAUGGAGUCAAUGGAGAUGAAUGGGGGACAAAAUGGUGGCAUUGAAAUGAACGGGGGGCAAAACAGAGUCAAUGGAGAUGAAUGGAGGAGAAAAUGGCGUCAAUGGAAAUGAAUGGGGGACAAAAUGGCAUUGGAAUGAAUGAAUGGGGGACAAAAUGGAGUCAGUGGAAAUGAAUGGGGGACAAAAUGGCGGCAUUGGAAUGAAUGGGGGACAAAAUGGCAUUGGAAUGAAUGAAUGGGGGGCGAAAUGGAGCCAAUGGAGAUGAAUGGGGGACAAAAUGGCGGCCCCAAAAUGGCGGCCCCGCAGUGGUGGCCCAAUGGUGGCGCUGCAGUGGGGUGGGGGUGGCAAUAAAGACUUUUCACCCCCCCAAAAAUGGCUCUUUUUAACCUUUUUUUUUUUACCCCCAUUCUCAAUGGAGGUUUUUGGACCCUCCCCCCCCCCCCCCCCCCAAAAUCCCAUUCCUCCCCCCCCGGAUUUCCCCAUUAUCCCCACAAAUCUUCUGUGCCCCCCCCCAAAAAUGAAUGGUUUCCCCUUUAGAGCUCUUUUUUAUGGGGGAUAUUGGGUUAUUUGGGGGGGAAAUUGGGUUAUUUGGGGGAAAUUGGGUUAUUUUGGGGGGAAAUGGGGUUAUUUGGGGGGGAAAUAUGGGUUAUUUGGGGGGGAAAGAGGAAAUUUGGG